rnacentral:ncRNA from 1 species
GGAGCCAUUAGUGAAAUACCACCCUGAUUAUGUUUAGAUCCUAACCCCAUUCCGUCAUCCGGAUGGGGGACCGUGCCAGGUGGGCAGUUUGACUGGGGCGGUCGCCUCCCAAAAGGUAACGGAGGCGCCCAAAGGUUCCCUCAGGUGGAAUGGAAACCCACCAUAGAGUGUAAAGGCAUAAGGGAGCUUGACUGCAAGGCCAACGCGCCGAACAGAGACGAAAGUCGGGCUUAGUGAUCCCACGGUUCCGAGUGGAAGGGCCGUGGCUUACCGGAUAAAAGCUACCCCGGGGAUAACAGGCUGGUCAGGUCCAAGAGUUCACAUCGACGACCUGGCUCGGCACCUCGAUGUCGGCUCAUCGCAUCCUGGGGCUGGAUAAGGUCCCAAGGGUUGGGCUGUUCGCCCAUUAAAGCGGUACGCGAGCUGGGUUCAGACCGUCGUGAGACAGGUCGGUCUCUAUCCGCUGUGGGCGUAAGGGAUUUGAAGGGAGCUGCUCCUAGUACGAGAGGACCGGAGUGGACAGACCUCUAGUGUGCCAGUUGUUCCGCCAGGAGCAUCGCUGGGUAGCCAUGUCUGGCAGAGAUAACCGCUGAAAGCAUCUAAGUGGGAAACUUGCCCUAAGAUUAGAUCCCUGUAUUCCCGUAAGGGAGUAAGACCCCAGAUAGACUAUCUGGUAUAUAGGCAGUAUGUGUAAGCGUAGCAAUGCGUUCAGCUAAACUGUACUAAUGGUCGAGGGCUUCAUCCC